GUGGCUAUAAUUUAACAAAAAUAUUAGGUUGUGAUCCUAAAAAUAGAAGUGGAAAUCUUCUUACCCGCC
rnacentral:tRNA from 1 species